UGGGGAAUUUUGGACAAUGGGCGAAAGCCUGAUCCAGCAAUGCCGCGUGUGUGAAGAAGGCCUUCGGGUUGUAAAGCACUUUUGUCCGGAAAGAAAUCCUCUGGGUUAAUACCUCGGGGGGAUGACGGUACCGGAAGAAUAAGCACCGGCUAACUACGUGCCAGCAGCCGCGGUAAUACGUAGGGUGCAAGCGUUAAUCGGAAUUACUGGGCGUAAAGCGUGCGCAGGCGGUUUUGUAAGACGGAUGUGAAAUCCCCGGGCUUAACCUGGGAACUGCAUUCGUGACUGCAAGGCUAGAGUAUGGCAGAGGGGGGUAGAAUUCCACGUGUAGCAGUGAAAUGCGUAGAGAUGGUGGAGGAAUACCGAUGGCGAAGGCAGCCCCCUGGGCCAAUACUGACGCUCAUGCACGAAAGCGUGGGGAGCAAACAGGAUUAGAUACCCUGGUAGUCCACGCCCUAAACGAUGUCAACUAGUUGUUGGGGAUUCAUUUCCUUAGUAACGUAGCUAACGCGUGAAGUUGACCGCCUGGGGAGUACGGUCGCAAGAUUAAAACUUAAAUGAAUUGACGGGG
rnacentral:rRNA from 1 species